AGCUCCUCAGUUCCUUCUCCUUGUCUCUGACUCAGUCAGGAGGAUCAGGAGGAUCUAAGUCAGUGCUGGAGGUAUCACUUCCAGUUUGAGCAGGAUUUGAGUGUUGGAAGGCCUUUCUUCUCCUCUUAUCAUCUGGUCCUUUUCCUUGUAAGCCCCAGGGAAGAAGACAUGCUGUGGGCUCUAGCCCUACUUCUAGCCAUCCUGCCUCCUGGGAGCCAAACAUCCAGGUUGGAAAGGAGAAUGAUGUCAGUCACAAGUUCACCUGGGUCAUAUGUGCCAAUCACUUGUGAUUUACGUGAAGCAAGUACCUACAUCCACUGGUACCAAUUCAAGGAGGGGAAGGCCCCACGAUACCUUCUGUACUAUAAUCUUCUCAAUUUCAGUGUUGUGGUAGACUCAGGAAUCAUUUCAGAAAAAUAUGAUGCUAAUAAAGGCCCAGAUAGGAGAUGUAAAUUAGUAGUACGAAAUGUGGACGAAAGUGACUCUGCUGUGUAUUAUUGUGCCUACUGGACUCGCACAGUGGUUCAGACCUGCCUUUAUCUGUACUCAAAAUGUUGCUUUGACUGCUCCUAGUACACAGAUAGAGAUCAGCCCCUUCCUAUUUCCUGCCCCUGACCUCACUGUAAUCUGAACAAAGGGAAAACAUGAGCCCAAAGCUUAACUAUUGCCCUGUAUCUAUAACACUCCCACUAGCACUUAUAUCCUGCUCCCAUUUGCACCCCAAGACCAAACUCCCGUACUGCUAUCUCUCAUCCUUGGUCAAGCAUCCUGGCUGACAGCAUCAUUUUCUCAGCUCUCCUAGAGCCUGGUGGAGGCUCAUUCAAUCUGCUGAC